UGCAGUAUCAGUUUCUGUCAGACCAGUUUGUUAAAAAAGCACUUUGAGUAAAUAGCAGAGGCCAGGCUGAAACUAAAAUAGGGAGACUUAAAAAAAUGUUUUGUUUUUUUAAUAAGUCGAAUUUAAUGCCCUCUCAGGGUUAAACAAAAUUCUCUUCAGGAUAAAGACUGCCCAUUUGAGAGGGAGUUUCGGAGCUGGGGAGGGAGGGAGUUGGAGACCGGACCCUGAGGUAUUAUUGGAGGCAUUAGAUUGCAUCAAGGAGUUUUGCACAAGAGAGAAAAUAGAGGAGUUGACCUUUUGUUGUAUACUAGCUAUGUUCCUGAAAAAUUACGUGAAAAAUUUCCAAACUGAUUCCCACUCACAAUGCAACAGGCAAGGUCACUGAAAAAUCUCUCCCAGAAGUUUUAUAAAAGGCGGUCCCUGCAGGGUUGGGAGUCCGACGGACUAAGAAAGGAAGGAUUGGUCCCUGCCUUGAUCUUCUCUGAGGUACCAAGCACUUAUAUCUGCAAGUGCAUCAAGUGGAGACAGGUCUGAGGAAUACAAAAGGAACGACUACAACUAAAAAUGAAGUCCAACAAUGCUGCAGGAUACAAGAUCGAUAUACAAAAAUCAGUUGUAUUUCUAUACACUUGCAGUGACGCAUCUGAAAAUGAAAUUAAGAAAAAAGACCCAUUUAUAACAACAUUAAAAAGAAUAAAAUAUUUAGGAACAUACUUAACAAAAGAAGUGUAAGAAUUAAACACCAAAAACUACAAAACAUUGCUGAAAGAAAUUAAAGACCUAAAUUAGUGAAAAGGAAUCCCAUAUACAUAGAUCAAAAGAUUUCACUUUCUUAAGAUGGCAAUUGUCCCUAAAUGGCUCUAUAGGUUCAAUGCAAUCCCUAUCAAAAAUGCCAACUGCUUUGUUUUGCAAAUUGGCAAAAUGAUCUUAAAAUUCAUAUGGAAAUGCAAGUGACCCUGAAAAGCCAAGACAAUCUUGAAGAAAAAGUUGUAAGAUUCACACUUCCCCAUUUUGAAACUUACUACAAAGGUACAGUAAUUAAAAUGGUGUAGCACUAACAUCUGAAACUCAUAUAACACUGUAUGUUAACUACUCUGGAAUUAAAAACAAAACAAGGGUGCCUGGGUGGCUCAGUGGGUUAAGGUGCUGCCUUCGGCUCAGGUCAGGAUCCCAGGGUCCUGGGAUCGAGUCCUGCAUUGGGCUCUCUGCUCAGGGGGGAGCCUGCUUCCUCCUGGCUCUCUCUCUGCCUGCCUCUCUGCCUGCUUGUGAUCUCUCUCUCUUUGUCAAAUAAAUAAAUAAAAUCUUUAAAAAAAAAAAAAAAGGGAAAAGGAAAUUUAGAGACANNNNNNNNNNNNNNNNNNNNNNNNNNN
rnacentral:lncRNA from 1 species